AUGAACGCUGGCGGCGUGCCUAAUACAUGCAAGUCGAGCGAACAGAUGAGGAGCUUGCUCCUCUGACGUUAGCGGCGGACGGGUGAGUAACACGUGGAUAACCUACCUAUAAGACUGGGAUAACUUCGGGAAACCGGAGCUAAUACCGGAUAAUAUAUUGAACCGCAUGGUUCAAUAGUGAAAGACGGUUUUGCUGUCACUUAUAGAUGGAUCCGCGCCGCAUUAGCUAGUUGGUAAGGUAACGGCUUACCAAGGCGACGAUGCGUAGCCGACCUGAGAGGGUGAUCGGCCCCACUGGAACUGAGACACGGUCCAGACUCCUACGGGAGGCAGCAGUAGGGAAUCUUCCGCAAUGGGCGAAAGCCUGACGGAGCAACGCCGCGUGAGUGAUGAAGGUCUUCGGAUCGUAAAACUCUGUUAUUAGGGAAGAACAAAUGUGUAAGUAACUAUGCACGUCUUGACGGUACCUAAUCAGAAAGCCACGGCUAACUACGUG
rnacentral:rRNA from 1 species